AAGAAUGAGCCUGCGAGUCAGCGGCAUGUCGCGAGGUUAACCCGUGUGGGGUAGCCGUAGGGAAACCGAAUCCUAAUGGGGUGUUUAGUGGCAUGUCCUGGACCCGAAGCGGGGUGAUCUACCCAUGGCCAGUGUGAAGCAGCAGUAAGGUGCUGUGGAGGCGCGAACCCACGUAGGUUGAAAACUGCGGGGAUGAGCUGUGGGUAGGGGUGAAAGGCCAAUCAAACUCCGUGAUAGCUGGUUCUCCCCGAAAUGCAUUUAGGUGCAGCGUCGCAUUAGCUUGGUGGAGGUAGAGCUACUGGUUGGUUGAGCGGGACUACAAUCUUAGCAAUGUCAGCCAAACUCCGAAUGCCAUUAAUGUGUUGUGCGGCAGUGAGACUGUGGGGGAUAAGCUUCAUAGUCGAGAGGGAAACAGCCCAGAUCGCCGGUUAAGGCCCCUAAGGGUGUGCUAAGUGGAAAAGGAUGUGGGAUCGCGAAGACAGCCAGGAGGUUGGCUUAGAAGCAGCCAUCCUUGAAAGAGUGCGUAAUAGCUCACUGGUCGAGUGGUUCUGCGCCGACAAUGUAGUGGGGCUCAAGCACACCGCCGAAGCCGCGGCAAUAAUAUUUUGUUAUUGGGUAGGGGAGCGUCGUGCACGUGUUGAAGCGUUACCGUGAGGAGGCGUGGAGUGUGUGCGAGUGAGAAUGCAGGCAUGAGUAACGAAUUGGAAGGUGAGAAUCCUUCCCGCCGGAUGACUAAGGGUUCCUGGGUCAAGUUCGUCUUCCCAGGGUGAGUCGGGACCUAAGGCGAGG
rnacentral:rRNA from 1 species